rnacentral:lncRNA from 1 species
CUGCCCUGUCUCUCCUACAGGGACACGGGGAGGUGGCCUGGCAGAGCGCAUCUGGGCUUUGGGCCCUCCCGUCUUGCCUGCUGUGCUGCGCCAUCCCCUGGACUCGGGCCCAGCUCUCUCUGUCCCUUGGAGGGAGCGCCAGGGGCACAGGGCGGGCCGGGAGGAAGGGCCCUGGGCCGGGUCAUUUCCUGACACACUUGUUUGCCACAUGCUCCUUGCUUCUGGUGCUUCCUCCGGGAAGUCUUCCAGGAUGCCCACUUUCUUCUGACUCCUUGUCCCUGGACUCUGGGCUGCUUCCCAUGUCUGGCCUCAGUUUACCCCCUACAAGCCUGAGAGCCCACAUGAUUACCACCUCUUUGCAAAUAAAGGAAGGGAGGCUGAGAGCCUCCCUGAGUGCUGGGAUUCCAGGUGUGCACCACCACAUGCUGGCUUGAACUUGGCAUCUUCGUGUCCGAUU